rnacentral:tRNA from 1 species
AAUUUAAAUGGUGUAAUAUAAACACUUAACUUUUUCAUUGUUAAAUUCCUUUUGGUUUAAAUUA